rnacentral:rRNA from 2 species
AGCCUGAUGGAGCAACACCGCGUGAGUGAAGAAGGGUUUCGGCUCGUAAAACUCUGUUGUUGGAGAAGAACGUGCGUAAGAGUAACUGUUUACGCAGUGACGGUAUCCAACCAGAAAGUCACGGCUAACUACGUGCCAGCAGCCGCGGUAAUACGUAGGUGGCAAGCGUUAUCCGGAUUUAUUGGGCGUAAAGCGAGCGCAGGCGGUUGCUUAGGUCUGAUGUGAAAGCCUUCGGCUUAACCUAAGAAGUGCAUCGGAAACCGGGCGACUUGAGUGCAGAAGAGGACAGUGGAACUCCAUGUGUAGCGGUGGAAUGCGUAGAUAUAUGGAAGAACACCAGUGGCGAAGGCGGCUGUCUGGUCUGCAACUGACGCUGAGGCUCGAAAGCAUGGGUAGCGAACAGGAUUAGAUACCCUGGUAGUCCAUGCCGUAAACGAUGAGUGCUAGGUGUUGGAGGGUUUCCGCCCUUCAGUGCCGAAGCUAACGCAUUAAGCACUCCGCCUGGGGAGUACGACCGCAAGGUUGAAACUCAAAGGAAUUGACGGGGGCCCGCACAAGCGGUGGAGCAUGUGGUUUAAUUCGAAGCUACGCGAAGAACCUUACCAGGUCUUGACAUCUUGCGCCACCUCAGAGAUGAGGCGUUCCCUUCGGGGACGCAAAGACAGGUGGUGCAUGGUCGUCGUCAGCUCGUGUCGUGAGAUGUUGG